GCCCGGUUAGCUCAGUUGGUAGAACAUCAGACUUUUAAUCUGAGGGCCAUGGGUUCGAGUCCCAUAUCGGGCU
rnacentral:tRNA from 1 species